GACGAACGCUGGCGGCGUGCCUAAUACAUGCAAGUAGAACGCACAGUUUAUACCGUAGCUUGCUACACCAUAGACUGUGAGUUGCGAACGGGUGAGUAACGCGUAGGUAACCUGCCUGGUAGCGGGGGAUAACUAUUGGAAACGCUAGCUAAUACCGCAUAAUAUUGAUUAUUGCAUGAUAAUUAAUUGAAAGGUGCAAUUGCACCACUACCAGAUGGACCUGCGUUGUAUUAGCUAGUAGGUGAGGUAACGGCUCACCUAGGCGACGAUACAUAGCCGACCUGAGAGGGUGAACGGCCACACUGGGACUGAGACACGGCCCAGACUCCUACGGGAGGCAGCAGUAGGGAAUCUUCGGCAAUGGACGAAAGUCUGACCGAGCAACGCCGCGUGAGUGAAGAAGGUUUUCGGAUCGUAAAGCUCUGUUGUAAGAGAAGAACGGGUGUGAGAGUGGAAAGUUCACACUGUGACGGUAUCUUACCAGAAAGGGACGGCUAACUACGUG
rnacentral:rRNA from 1 species